UAUUAAAAAUAUCACCCAUUUAUACUGUUAAAAAUUAUUAUGGUCAACAGAAUAAUUAGACAAGGACACGUGAUGUGCCACAUGUCUCUUAUGUUAAUGUACAAUGACUAGUUUUUAACAAUAAAAAUAGAUUGAAUUUUUAAUA
rfam:Gossypium raimondii Chr05_contig_1369, whole genome shotgun sequence.